rnacentral:lncRNA from 1 species
AACCAUCUUUCUGACUUGAGCAUCGGAGGAUCCUCAUCGGAGCUACCUCUAGUGGAACUUGUUUUGUAGAUUCUUCUUUUUGGUGCCGAGCGGAGUCUAGCACCAUCUCUCUCUUAUUCACAUUAUCACUUUUGGUCUCGGCCUUGACUGUGUGCAUCUUCUCCGGUGAUGGUACAAUAUCUUCCGAUGAUUCCACCGCUCACUAAUUAGGGUAGCCUUUUAUCAGCUUCAGACCGACUACCGACUAUUCAUCAAAGAAACACCGCAACACAAAGCAUAAGAAAGAUGGAAGCGCUAGCAAUUUAUCAAGGGUAUUGA